GAUGAACGCUGGCGGCGUGCUUAACACAUGCAAGUCGAACGGAAAGGCCGAAGCUUGCUUCGGUACUCGAGUGGCGAACGGGUGAGUAACACGUGGGUGAUCUGCCCUGUACUUCGGGAUAAGCUUGGGAAACUGGGUCUAAUACCGGAUAUGACGAUCUCUUGGAUGGGGUUGUGAAAAGCUUUUGCGGUAUGGGAUGAGCUCGCGGCCUAUCAGCUUGUUGGUGGGGUAAUGGCCUACCAAGGCGUCGACGGGUAGCCGGCCUGAGAGGGUGUACGGCCACAUUGGGACUGAGAUACGGCCCAGACUCCUACGGGAGGCAGUAGUGGGGAAUAUUGCACAAUGGGCGCAAGCCUGAUGCAGCGACGCCGCGUGGGGGAUGACGGCCUUCGGGUUGUAAACUCCUUUCGCAAUCGACGAAGCCUUUUGGUGACGGUAGGUUGAGAAGAAGCACCGGCUAACUACGUG
rnacentral:rRNA from 1 species